CGACUUUUGACUUUCAAAGUGCACAAGAGGCUGCCACUGAGAGCACCUGUAGCCCACCUCCCAGAUUUAUUUAUAAUUUAUAAUUCACGGCUUUCCUAGAAAUUCAGAGCCACGUACUGCUUUCGGGAAUUAUCAGAUGAUGGGAGAACUGGAAAGAGCGAGUCAAUUGUUGAAAGAAAAAUCGUUAUCAGGGUUCAAUCUAAGCCGGGAAUAAACAAAAUGGAGACUGCUUUAGAAAGAAGGUUCUUGUUUAUUUAGUUGCCAGAAACUUCAGUGACAGCAGCAAGUUUCUGGGAUGGCUGACCACAUGGAGCUGACCCAGGCAAUGCCUCUCGUAGCUCCAGCUGAAUCUCUGCCUGAAGACUGGUUGAGGCCGUCUGCCAUCUCCAAUCAGCUAGAGCUGUACAUGCCGAUCCUGGGCAGUUCCAGCUGACUUCCACACAAGCCUGUGUGGCGCUGCUGCCGCUUCACCUCAUUCACUUCUACACUUUUUUUUUACAGUGCUGUUCAACCUGUUGUAUGCGUACCACCUGCCAGAUGCUAAUGUACUACUAGUGGGUACGCAUACCACCAGUUGAAAAGCCCUGUCAUGGACCACAGUUCCCAUA